AAGUAAGUGUAUUAUAUCUCAUGC
rnacentral:siRNA from 1 species